GUGGGUAUAGCUCAGUGGUAGAGCACGUGAUUUGCAUGUACAAGGUCCUGGGUUCAAGCCCCAAUACCUCCA
rnacentral:tRNA from 1 species